CCUACGGGAGGCUGCAGUGGGGAAUAUUGCACAAUGGGGGAAACCCUGAUGCAGCGACGCCGCGUGAGUGAAGAAGUAUUUCGGUAUGUAAAGCUCUUUCAGCAGGGAAGAAAAUGACGGUACCUGAUUAAGAAGCCCCGGCUAACUACGUGCCAGCAGCCGCGGUAAUACGUAGGGGGCAAGCGUUAUCCGGAUUUACUGGGUGUAAAGGGAGCGUAGGCGGCAGCACAAGUCUGGAGUGAAAUGCCGGGGCUUAACCCCGGAACUGCUUUGGAAACUGUGCAGCUAGAGUGCAGGAGAGGUACGUGGAAUUCGUGGUGUAGCGGUGAAAUGCGUAGAUACUAGGAGGAACACCAGUGGCGAAGGCGGCUUACUGGACUGUAACUGACGUUGAGGCUCGAAAGCGUGGGGAGCGAACAGGAUUAGAUACCCGAGUAGUC
rnacentral:rRNA from 1 species